rnacentral:rRNA from 1 species
GCAGCGACGCAGCGUGCGGGAUGACGGCCUUCGGGUUGUAAACCGCUUUCAGCAGGGAAGAAGCGAAAGUGACGGUACCUGCAGAAGAAGUACCGGCUAACUACGUGCCAGCAGCCGCGGUAAUACGUAGGGUACGAGCGUUGUCCGGAAUUAUUGGGCGUAAAGAGCUCGUAGGUGGUUGGUCACGUCUGCUGUGGAAACGCAACGCUUAACGUUGCGCGUGCAGUGGGUACGGGCUGACUAGAGUGCAGUAGGGGAGUCUGGAAUUCCUGGUGUAGCGGUGAAAUGCGCAGAUAUCAGGAGGAACACCGGUGGCGAAGGCGGGACUCUGGGCUGUAACUGACACUGAGGAGCGAAAGCAUGGGGGAGCGAACAGGAUUAGAUACCACC